rnacentral:rRNA from 1 species
UUAUUCCCAAUUCCCUUGAGUUGAUCUGGCUCGGACGAACGCUGGCGGCGUGCUUAACACAUGCAAGUCGAGGGGGCAGUCGGGGCAACCCGGCUGUCACCGGCGAACGGGUGCGUAACACGUGAGCGACCUGCCCGUCUGCGGGGGAUAGCCGGCCCAACGGCCGGGUAAUACCGCAUACGCCACCGGGGGGGCAUCCCUCGGGUGGGAAACUUCUGGGGCGGACAGAGGGGCUCGCGGCCUAUCAGCUAGUUGGCGGGGUAACGGCCCACCAAGGCGAUGACGGGUAGCUGGUCUGAGAGGAUGGCCAGCCACAUUGGGACUGAGAGACGGCCCAGACUCCUACGGGAGGCAGCAGUGGGGAAUCUUGCGCAAUGGCCGAAAGGCUGACGCAGCGACGCCGCGUGGGGGAUGAAGGCCUUCGGGUUGUAAACCCCUGUUGCCCGGGACGAACCGCCCCUUUCGAGGGGCCUGACGGUACCGGGUGAGGAAGCACCGGCUAACUCUGUGCCAGCAGCCGCGGUAAUACAGAGGGUGCGAGCGUUGUCCGGAAUCACUGGGCGUAAAGGGCGCGUAGGCGGUCUCUUAAGCGUGUGGUGAAAGCCCGGGGCUCAACUCCGGGUCGGCCGUGCGAACUGGGGGACUGGAGCUUGUCAGAGGCAUGCGGAAUUCCGGGUGUAGCGGUGGAAUGCGUAGAGAUCCGGAAGAACACCGUGGCGAAGGC